rnacentral:rRNA from 1 species
GACGAACGCUGGCGGCGUGCCUAAUACAUGCAAGUAGAACGCACAGUUUAUACCGUAGCUUGCUACACCAUAGACUGUGAGUUGCGAACGGGUGAGUAACGCGUAGGUAACCUGCCUGGUAGCGGGGGAUAACUAUUGGAAACGAUAGCUAAUACCGCAUAAUAUUGAUUAUUGCAUGAUAAUUGAUUGAAAGAUGCUAUUGCAUCACUACCAGAUGGACCUGCGUUGUAUUAGCUAGUAGGUGAGGUAACGGCUCACCUAGGCGACGAUACAUAGCCGACCUGAGAGGGUGAUCGGCCACACUGGGACUGAGACGCGGCCCAGACUCCUACGGGAGGCAGCAGUAGGGAAUCUUCGGCAAUGGACGAAAGUCUGACCGAGCAACGCCGCGUGAGUGAAGAAGGUUUUCGGAUCGUAAAGCUCUGUUGUAAGAGAAGAACGGGUGUGAGAGUGGAAAGUUCACACUGUGACGGUAUCUUACCAGAAAGGGACGGCUAACUACGUG